ACCUGGUUGGCUUAGUCAGUGGAGCAUGAAACUCUUGAUCUCAGGGUUGCGGGUUUGAAUCCCAUGUUUGGUA
rnacentral:tRNA from 1 species